rnacentral:rRNA from 1 species
CAGUAGCCGCGGGAACACCAGCAGCCCAAGUGGUGGUCGCGUUUAUUGGGCCUAAAGCGCUCGUAGCCUGACCGGUAAGUUCCCCGUGAAAUCGGGUCGCCCAACGAUUCGGCUUACGGGGAAUACUGUCGGUCUUGGGGCCGGGAGACGCCGAGGGUACUCCGGGGGUAGCGGUGAAAUGCUGUAAUCCUCGGGGGACUACCAGUGGCGAAGGCGCUCGGCGAUAACGGGCCUGACGGUGAGGGGCGAAAGCUGGGGGCGCGAACGGGAUUAGAUACCCCAGUAGUCCCUGUCUCUUAUU